ensembl:lncRNA
GGAAAGGGACCGCUGCGUGGAACCAGGGGCCUCCAGGUCCCUACGUCUCUUUAAGGACGGUCCUGCCUGGCUGGACCUUAGAGAUUCUUCUCAAACCAGAACUGCAGGAUAACCAUGCAAGGUAUUAUCUACAUUGGUUGGUUGGAGCGUGGCAUUGACGAGCUCACAGUCAGGGCUUCGGUUCCCUUCCCUCAGUCAAAAUCAGUCAGAGAAACACAGAGAAGGCUGUCCUGCAACCUCUGAUCCUGCUGUAAUUCUGUUACCUGUGCCACAUGGUCAGGUGUUCAUAAGGACUGAAGCUGGGAGUUGCAGUGCAGCUGUGGGAACAAGGAGGUGGCAGUGUGAACACACGGACCCCAAAGUUUAGGAAGACUGGAUUUUGGAGACAGGCUGAAGAGGACCCCGCAGUGACACUCAUCAGGGUGCCCAGGCUUCCUCGACUUUAAAUUAGAGAAGAGACUGCUAUUCUCUCCUGUGGCCAUGAACCUGACGUGAACCGAGGUACAAGAAACCGACCGGCAGAGUGGCGACCCCGUCC